GACGAACGCUGGCGGCGUGCUUAACACAUGCAAGUCGAACGGUGAAGGAGAGCUUGCUCUCCGGAUCAGUGGCGAACGGGUGAGUAACACGUGGGCAACCUGCCCCAGACUUCGGGAUAACGCUUCGAAAGAGGUGCUAAUACCGGAUACGAACUCCUUGGGCAUCCUUGGAGUUGGAAAGUUUUUCGGUCUGGGAUGGGCCCGCGGCCUAUCAGCUUGUUGGUGAGGUAACGGCUCACCAAGGCGACGACGGGUAGCCGGCCUGAGAGGGCGACCGGCCACACUGGGACUGAGACACGGCCCAGACUCCUACGGGAGGCAGCAGUGGGGAAUAUUGCGCAAUGGGCGGAAGCCUGACGCAGCGACGCCGCGUGGGGGAUGACGGCCUUCGGGUUGUAAACCUCUUUCGACUUCGACGAAGCCUCCUUUGGGGGGUGACGGUAGGGGUGGAAGAAGCACCGGCCAACUACGUGCCAGCCGCCGCGGUAAAAC
rnacentral:rRNA from 1 species